rnacentral:rRNA from 1 species
UUCAGACGAUGCGUCAUGCAUAUCAAUAAGCGGAGGAAAAGAAACUAACAAGGAUUCCCUUAGUAACGGCGAGUGAAGCGGGAAGAGCUCAAAUUUGAAAUCUUAAAGGGUUUCCCUUUACGAAUUGUAGUUUAAAGAAGUGUUUUCUGUUAGAGUUUCGGUAAAAGUUCUUUGGAAUAGGACAUCAUAGAGGGUGAGAAUCCCGUAUUUGACCGUUAUUUCUAGCUUUGUGAUACACUUUCAAAGAGUCGGAUUGUUUGGGAAUGCAGUCCAAAAUGGGUGGUAAAUUUCAUCUAAAGCUAAAUAUUGGCGAGAGACCGAUAGCGAACAAGUACCGUGAGGGAAAGAUGAAAAGAACUUUGAAAAGAGAGUUAAACAGUACGUGAAAUUGUCAAAAGGGAAGCGUUUGACACCAGUGUUGUUUUCUCGAAAAUCAAUUAAAAAAGGCAGGAUUUUGUGUUGUAUUGACUUUAUCAGCUUUCUGCACUCUUUUCUUGUCCUUUUUUAAUGCACUUUUCGUUUAACAAGUCAACAUCAAUUUCUUUUGUUGUAAAAGGGUCAUUGGAAGGUGGCUUUCUUUUCGGAGAAAGUGUUUAUAGCCUUUGACCUCUGCAAUCGGAGAGAUUGAGGUCUGCAGCGUAGAUCCUUCGGGGUUAGAUACAUUUGUGCUAAGUUAUAGCCUUUCAUAGACAACUUGUUGACUAUGAUCAGUCAUGUAGCUUACUCGCUUAUGCUAUUUUACCUACGCUUAGGAUGUUGAUCUACAGAGCGAGAGU